AUACUUACCUGGCAGGGGAGACACCAUGAUCACGCAGGUGGUUCACCCAGGGUGAGGCUCAGCCAUUGCACUCCGGCUGUGCUGACCCCUGCGAAUUCCCCAAAUGUGGGAAUCUCGACUGCAUAAUUUCUGGUAGUGGGGGACUGCGUUCGCGCUCUCCCCUG
ensembl:snRNA U1 U1 spliceosomal RNA